GACGAACGCUGGCGGCGUGCUUAACACAUGCAAGUCGAACGCUGAAGCUUGGUGCUUGCACUGGGUGGAUGAGUGGCGAACGGGUGAGUAAUAAGUGAGUAACCUGCCCUUGACUCUGGGAUAAGCCUGGGAAACUGGGUCUAAUACUGGAUACGACAUGUCACCGCAUGGUGGUGUGUGGAAAGGGUUUUACUGGUUUUGGAUGGGCUCACGGCCUAUCAGCUUGUUGGUGGGGUAAUGGCUCACCAAGGCGACGACGGGUAGCCGGCCUGAGAGGGUGACCGGCAACACUGGGACUGAGACACGGCCCAGACUCCUACGGGAGGCAGCAGUGGGGAAUAUUGCACAAUGGGCGGAAGCCUGAUGCAGCGACGCCGCGUGAGGGAUGACGGCCUUCGGGUUGUAAACCUCUUUCAGCACGGAAGAAGCGAAAGUGACGGUACGUGCAGAAGAAGCGCCGGCUAACUACGUG
rnacentral:rRNA from 1 species